UACGGAGGGUGCGAGCGUUGUCCGGAAUCACUGGGCGUAAAGCGCACGUAGGCGGAUUGCUAAGUCAGGGGUGAAAUCCUGGAGCUCAACUCCAGAACUGCCUUUGAUACUGGCAACCUUGAGUCCGGGAGAGGUGAGUGGAACUGCGAGUGUAGAGGUGAAAUUCGUAGAUAUUCGGAAGAACACCAGUGGCGAAGGCGGCUCACUGGCCCGUUACCGACGCUCAGGCGCGACAGCGUGGGGAGCAAACAGG
rnacentral:rRNA from 1 species